rnacentral:rRNA from 1 species
AUUGAACGCUGGCGGCAGGCCUAACACAUGCAAGUCGAGCGGAUGACGGGAGCUUGCCCCUUGAUUCAGCGGCGGACGGGUGAGUAAUGCCUAGGAAUCUGCCUGGUAGUGGGGGACAACGUUUCGAAAGGAACGCUAAUACCGCAUACGUCCUACGGGAGAAAGCAGGGGACCUUCGGGCCUUGCGCUAUCAGAUGAGCCUAGGUCGGAUUAGCUAGUUGGUGGGGUAAUGGCUCACCAAGGCGACGAUCCGUAACUGGUCUGAGAGGAUGAUCAGUCACACUGGAACUGAGACACGGCCCAGACUCCUACGGGAGGCAGCAGUGGGGAAUAUUGGACAAUGGGCGAAAGCCUGAUCCAGCCAUGCCGCGUGUGUGAAGAAGGUCUUCGGAUUGUAAAGCACUUUAAGUUGGGAGGAAGGGCAGUAAGUUAAUACCUUGCUGUUUUGACGUUACCGACAGAAUAAGCACCGGCUAACUCUGUGCCAGCCGCCGCCGUAA